rnacentral:rRNA from 1 species
GUCUACGGCCAUACCACCCUGAACGCGCCCGAUCUCAUCUGAUCUCGGAAGCUAAGCAGGGUCGGGCCUGGUUAGUACUUGGAUGGAGAAAAGAAAAUGUUCUUCAGAAA